AAAGAAUACACCCGUCCCCGGGAAAAACGGAGGUUUAUUGGUCUGGGAGAGAGCCGUUAAGAGCGUCCCCCCUCUGUAUUUGAUGUGGUAGAAUCCCAGCCUGACCAUUUCUGACAUGUGUGAGGGGGGAACUCUGCCCCGACAAUAACUCGCUCUGUCUCCCCCACAUUUCACCGAGUUCUGAUUAUUCCUAGGCACACGAGACUGGAGUUAACUGGAAUCUCUUCAGACCUGAAGAGGCGCUCAGGGGCGAAUUUAAAGUUGUAGUAAUCCAGGCUCCUCGCCGCUUGCAAAGUCAUGCCUUCUACCAGUGAGGUCCACCAGGGAGUUUUUGGUUCUAACAAGUCUAUAUUUAAGCCAUAUUUUGUACAAAAAUUUGGAAUUAUAUGGUCUAAGAAUCCCCUGUGCACCUUUACCUCAUCAUAUACCAGAUAGGCAUGCCAACCAAAACACGUACAUACACCUUCUAGAUCCAACAGAUCUUUAUCUUUUAAGAUCAUCCAUUCUCUGAUCCAAGUUACAGCUGCCGCUGCAUGAUACAACUCCAAAUCAGGCAAAGCCAAGCCCCCCCUUCAUUUCUGUCUAUAAUAAUUUUAUGCUUUAUUCUGGGCUUUUUCCCUUUCCAUAUGAAUUUUGCUAUGUCUUUCCUCCAAUUUUUAAAACAAUCCAUACCUCCCAGAAUAGGUAUCAUUUGGAAUAGAAAAAUCAUUCUAGGUAAGAUGUUCAUUUUUACUACCAAUAUUUUGCCCCAGAAGGAGAGAUGAAGCUUGCUCCAGAUUUCUAAAUUUAUUUUCACGUCAUUCCACAUUUUGACAUAAUUGUCCUGAAACAGAUUAAUGUGUUUUGAUGUUAAUCAGAUGCCUAGGUAUUUCACUUUUUUCUUUAUUUCCAAUCCCCUAGUUUCCUGUAAUUCGUUUUGUUCAUCUAUUCCCAUGUUCUUGACUAACAAGUUUGUUUCCUUAUAAUUGAUUUUAAAGCCAGCUAAUUGUCCAAAUUCGUUAAUAGAUUCUAUUGCUUUUGGGAUACAAUCCUUAGGGUUUUCUGUUAUUAGUAAAUCACCUGCAAGAAGAAGAAAGAAAGUUUGGAUUUGAUAUCCCGCUUUAUCACUACCUGAAGGAGUCUCAAAGCAGCUGACAUUCUCCUUUCCCUUCCUCCCCCACAACAAACACUCUGUGAGGUGAGUGGGGCUGAGAGACUUCAGAGAAGUGUGACUGGCCCAAGGUUACCCAGCAGCUGCAGGUGGAAGAGCGGAGACAUGAACUGCAAAAGCUCUUACUUUAUAAUUUCCCCCACUACAAUCCCUUUUAUUAUUUCCUCUUUUCUGAUCUUAUUCAUUAAAAUUUCCAAUGCCAAAAUAAAUAAUAAUGGGGACAGAGGGCAUCCCUAUCUUGUUCCUUUUGAAAUUUCAAUAUUUCCUGAGAUCAUACCAUUUAUUAUCAGUCUAGCCCUUUGUUUAUGAUAUAUUGCUUCAAUACAUUUUUCAAUUUUUUCUCCCAUACCCAUUAAAUUAAUCUGUUUCUUUAGGAAAUACCAGGAUGCAUUAUCAAAAGCUUUUUCUGCGUCUACGAACAUCAGAGCCGCUAUUUAACAAUUCUAAAUUCAAGAUAUUCUAAUAUGUUAAUAAUGUUCCUGAUGUUAUUCUGUAUUUGUUUUCCUGGUAAGUAGCUGGCCUGAUUUUCAUGAAUUAUAUCUUUCAAUAUAUGUUUGAGUCUUUCUGCCAAUAUGUCAGCAAAUAACUUAUAGUCACAAUUUAAUAGAGAUAUUGAAUUAUACCCACUUUUCUCUUUUCCAUCUCAUUGCAGUGAGGCUAUAGAAGUCCUGAAGACAGUAAUGGACUGGAUGCGGGUAAACAAACUGAAUAUUAAUUCAGACAAGACAAAUGUUAGUAGAGCUAACCUUGGAACAGAGGUUCAACCAGUAUUGGGUGGGAAUAACACUUCCCUUGCAAAUGCAGAUUUGUAGCAUGGGGAUUUCGCUGAACUUGGAUAUUUAGGUAUCUACUGUGGCCAACUAUUGUAUUUAUUGUUGGAAAAUUCUUUUUAAAAAUUGUGCUUAUUAUUUCAACGUACCUUGUUAGCUGCCAUGGGCUCAUUGAGGAAAGGUGGGGUAUAAAUGUUUUAAAUACAGUACAUAAAUAAAUAAAUAGCAGAAUCCUUA